AUGACUGCAGAAAUGCGUAUACCAUUACAUGACUUACGUAAGAUUACAACUCAAUUCUCAGUGGACUCAAGGAUAGGAAAGGGUGGGUAUGGAGACGUUUACAAGGGAGUGUACAAAGGAAGAGAUGUUGCUGUGAAGUUGCUUCAUGUUGAUACGGUGCAAGGAAUAGAUGACCUACAAUAUCUCAGUGAAGUUGAUAUCCUUUCGAGGAUUAAGCACCCAAAUAUCAUACAGUUCCUUGGUUAUAGUUAUGAAACAACUUCUGAAUUCGUUGAGCACAAGGGUAAGAAAGAUUUUAGUAAACACAUAUAUAGAGUCCUCUGCUUUGAGUACUUGCAGGGUGGAAGCCUAGACAAGCGUCUUCCUGAAAAAUCUUUUGCACCUGAUUGGAGCAAACGAUAUGUGAUUAUAAAGGGCAUUUGUGAAGGAUUAGAUUUCCUUCACGGGUGUAAACCACCAAUUUUUCAUCUUGAUCUGAAGCCUGCCAAUAUAUUACUAGACAGUGAAAUGGUGCCUAAAGUGGCAGAUUUUGGAUUGUCAAGGUUCUUCAGCGGAGCACGCACUCAUGUCACAAAACAAAUCAGAGGAACCCAGACGUACAUGCCACCAGAAUUCAUAAACGAUGGUGAAAUCUCAAAUAAGAAUGACGUCUUUAGUUUCGGUGUUGUGAUGAUAGAGAUAAUGACAGGACCAACAGGUUACUCCAAUUCUACCGGAGUGCCUGACGUGGCACAAUUAACUCAGGAGGUACUUACCAGAUGGAGUACAACGAUUGAAUUGACAUCAAAGUACAUAUCAGAGGAAUUACAUCAGGUGAAGACAUGCAUCGGAUUAGCAAUGCAUUGUGUGGAUUCUGAAAGAAACAAUAGACCCACUGUAGCAGAUAUCCUAGAUGCCCUGAAUAAGACAGAAACUCAUAUUCCCAAGAAACAGUUGACAGACGUUCUCCCAUGUCCGAUGGUUGGUUCCAAUAAUACAAUGUCUAAUACGUUGAAGGAGAUGGCAGCUGAACUGGACAAUAUAACAAAUCAAAACCGGCAUUCCAUUUGUAUGCCAGACAAUAGCUCUAGUGUAAAACAAGUUCCUGACAUACGAGAAACAAUUUCGGAUGUGGAGGAAGGACUGAUCAUUGGCAGGACUGAAGAAAUAUUGGAAAUAGUGGCUACUUUAUGUGGGAGCAUCACACUAGAUAACAAGGUCACCAUCCUUCCAAUAUAUGGCAUUGGAGGAGUUGGCAAGACAACCCUAGCUCAGUUAGUUUUCAAUGAUUCUCAAUUCGCAGGCUACUCUCGGGCAUGGAUCUAUGUGUCCCAAAAUCUCGAUUUGAAUAAAAUUGGCAAUUCUAUUAUAUCACAGCUAUCAGAGGAGAGCCAUAUAACUAACAAGCAGAUGAUAUAUAAGAAGCUGAGCGGGUUAUUUGCUGGUAAGAAGAUUCUUAUUGUCUUAGAUGACGUGUGGGAGACAAAUCCACGUAGUCUAAAGGAUUUGAAGUCCAUGCUAAGACCUGCUGUGGGUAGCAUGCUGACAGUUAUCGUAACCACAAGAGAUGAAGCCAUUGCAAGGGAAAUUUGCCAUACAGUUGGGCCAUACAAGCUAGAGACGUUAACAAAUAAUAGUUGCUGGAAAAUAAUAAAGCAGAAAACUGCCUUUAAAGACCGAGGCGACAAAAAACAGUUGAAGCAUAUAGGAAAGGAGAUUGCAAACAAGUGUGGAGGUGUGGCUUUGGCGGCUCAAUCACUGGGAUACACACUGAAGGGGAAGAUGUCUGAUGAAUGGGAAUCAGUGAGAGACAAUUAUAUAUGGAAUCUAUCUAGUUCGGAGGACCCAUCAUCAACAGACCAUGAAGUGCUUGCAUCCUUGCUGCUAAGCUAUAGCCGUAUGCCUGAUUGGUUGAAGUUAUGCUUUUCCUAUUGUGCAGUCUUUCCAAAAGGUCACAGUAUAGUGAAGUAUGAUCUAAUUUACCAAUGGAUUGCACUUGGAUUCACAGAGCAAUCUGAUGUAUUUGAUUCUAUGCAGCUCUGCGAGAAAUAUGUUGCACAACUCUUGGGGAUGUCCUUCCUUCAAUAUUCAAAGACACAACCUUCGGUGAUUAUUACAUUGCUAUGCUACUAUUCUUUUCAAACUUAUAAAUUCCCACUCAGGUGUGUACAUAUAUAUUCAAGAUGA
rnacentral:rRNA from 1 species